ensembl:lncRNA
ACAGUCUGUCUGUUGCUAAUGUCGUGUAGCUGAUUCACUCUACAUUGCUCUGUUGAUUUAUGGCGCCAAUUGAAUUUCUCUUUUAUAUACCUUUUAAACUUUGAACUGUUACUGAUAAGGAUGAACGUUUUUAAACAGAUUGAUACUGUAGUAGAUUUACCUGUGAAUGCUCCACCCUCUGUCUCGCCACAUCACCCCUUCUCUCCCCCUCUCCCUGCUCUCCUACUGUCUCCCUGUCUCAUUCUCUUUUCUCUCAGCCCCCUCAGUCUGUUAGUAUGAAGGUGUUAGAGGUGGGAGACUCAGUGAGUCAGUUCAGGUUGGCGGAGUCAUGUGUGGGGCUGGCAGGGUGUCUGUGCGUGGCCUACUCUGUUUGGACCCCUCGCUGGCUCAAUGACCAGGGACUGUGGUCUAUAGGCAACAACAGCACCAACACAGACAGUGAUGGUGACAAGACUGGGGGCAUCAUCUUUAACGCCCUGGAGGCAGAGCAAGUGUUUGGGGUGCUGUCAUUCCUCAUGGCUGUGAAUUCGGGGGCUCUGUGCCUCGUGUUUGCCCUCUGCUGGACAUCCCAGACAGUGCGCUCUUACUCCAACACCCGAUCCCUCCUCAUGGCAGGCCAGGCCCUCUACCCCACCGUCUUGCUGCUCCUCACUCUGGGACCCACAGGAUUCUUCUUCCUCCUCAGCUGGUCCCUCUUCACCUACCAGCACCGGGUGGAGAUCAGCGAUGACUUUACAUGCCUGGGCUCCUCCUUUUGGCUGGGUGCCCUUGGCUGGGCCCUGCUAUUGGUUGCUCUGCCUGUAGUCUUCCUGGUGGAGCAGUGUGUGGUCCCGGACAUCCUGCCAGAUCUCAUGAAGGCUGCCGAUGGGUGGCAGGGCGCCUCCCAGGUACCGUACGCCCAGCGCUCAUUCAUCGUGAGUCACCAGCGUUGUCAUGAAGACCAGAGUGAUGAAGACAUUGCGAGAGGGCUGAGGAGGUACAUGUCUGUACACUGA